AUGCGGACGGCAAAAUCUGUGCGGCGGAAGGGGCGGCGGAUGCAGGCCGAGAAGGGUCGCCGAGAGAGUCGGAGCACUCCAUUGGACAGAUCGAACCUAGAGCUCCGAAAACGAAGAAUGAGGGUAGGUGCUGCUCCGCCGGAAAAGACGCCAUGUCCUAAUCGGACUACUGCUCUGGAGAAGACUAUUUGUGGUUUUGCCGACAAUGCUGGGGACAAUGUCAUAGUGGCAACUUUGGGUGCAAGCUUUGAUUCUCUUGAUGAAGCCUACUACUUCUACACUUUUAUUCAUGGGAGAAAGGAUUUGACAUUAGAUACGUCAAGAGUAGGCUAA
rnacentral:rRNA from 1 species